CAUGCAAGUCGAACGGCAGCACAGGAGAGCUUGCUCUCUGGGUGGCGAGUGGCGGACGGGUGAGGAAUACAUCGGAAUCUACUCUGUCGUGGGGGAUAACGUAGGGAAACUUACGCUAAUACCGCAUACGACCUACGGGUGAAAGCAGGGGACCUUCGGGCCUUGCGCGAUUGAAUGAGCCGAUGUCGGAUUAGCUAGUUGGCGGGGUAAAGGCCCACCAAGGCGACGAUCCGUAGCUGGUCUGAGAGGAUGAUCAGCCACACUGGAACUGAGACACGGUCCAGACUCCUACGGGAGGCAGCAGUGGGGAAUAUUGGACAAUGGGCGCAAGCCUGAUCCAGCCAUACCGCGUGGGUGAAGAAGGCCUUCGGGUUGUAAAGCCCUUUUGUUGGGAAAGAAAUCCAUCUGGCUAAUACCCGGGUGGGAUGACGGUACCCAAAGAAUAAGCACCGGCUAACUUCGUGCCAGCAGCCGCGGUAAUACGAAGGGUGCAAGCGUUACUCGGAAUUACUGGGCGUAAAGCGUGCGUAGGUGGUCGUUUAAGUCCGUUGUGAAAGCCCUGGGCUCAACCUGGGAACUGCAGUGGAUACUGGGCGACUAUGUUGUGGUAGAUGGUAGCGGAAUUCCUGGUGUAGCAGUGAAAUGCGUAGAGAUCAGGAGGAA
rnacentral:rRNA from 1 species